rnacentral:rRNA from 1 species
AUUGAACGCUGGCGGCAGGCCUAACACAUGCAAGUCGAACGAGUGGCGGACGGGUGAGUAAUGUCUGGGAAACUGCCUGAUGGAGGGGGAUAACUACGGGAAACGGUAGCUAAUACCGCAUACCAUCAGAUUUGCCCAGAUGGGAUUAGCUAGUAGGUGGGGUAACGGCUCACCUAGGCGACGAUCCCUAGCUGGUCUGAGGGGAUGACCAGCAAGACUGGAAGUGAGACACGGCCCAGACUCCUACGGGAGGCAGCAGUGGGGAAUAUUGCACAAUGGGCGCAAGCCGGAUGCAGCGAUGCCGCGUGUAUGAAGAAGGCCUUAGGGUGGGAAAGUACUUUCAGCGGGGAGGCGUUACCCGCAGAAGAAGCACCGGCUAACUCCGUGCCAGCAGCCGCGGUAAUAC